CACAGCUCUAUACACUGCCAUAGAUACACUGACGGGUCCAGGUAGAGCCAUGGAAGGGUGAGCUUCUAUAUGCUAGCUACACUGACAGGUCCAGGUAGAGCCAUGGAAGGGUUAGCUUCUAUACGCUAGCUACACUGACAGGUCCAGGUAGAGCCAUGGAAGGGUUAGCUUCUAUACGCUAGCUACACUGACAGGUCCAGGUAGAGCCAUGGAAGGGUUAGCUUCUAUACGCUAGCAACACGGACAGGUCCAGGUAGAGCCAUGGAAGGGUUAGCUUCUAUACGCUAGCAACACGGACAGGUCCAGGUAGAGCCAUGGAAGGGUUAGCUUCUAUACGCUAGCAACACGGACAGGUCCAGGUAGAGCCAUGGAAGGGUUAGCUUCUAUACGCUAGCAACACGGACAGGUCCAGGUAGAGCCAUGGAAGGGUUAGCUUCUAUACGCUAGCUACACUGACAGGUCCAGGUAGAGCCAUGGAAGGGUUAGCUUCUAUACGCUAGCUACACUGACAGGUCCAGGUAGAGCCAUGGAAGGGUUAGCUUCUAUACGCUAGCUACACUGACAAGCACACGAAUAGCCGUUGGAGAGGAUAGGGAAAGAGAUUGUCA